rnacentral:lncRNA from 1 species
UCAUCCCACAUGAGCGUGGGGACCACGCCUGCUGCCUCACCCCUCUCUCCGCAGGUGCCGGUGUUGGGGGGGUGCCAGGAGCCGUACCUGGUGUGGGCGGAGUGCCUGGAGUGACACCUGGUGUUGGUGGCGUGCCCGGCUUGGUGCCAGGGGUAGGAGUACCUGGAACUGGCAUCAUUCCUGGGGCAGGCAUCCCCCAAGUAGGGGUGCAACCUGGUGCUAAACCUCCCAAAUUUGGUGUUCCUGGGGUUGGAGUCCCAGGGGUUGGUGGCCUCCCAGGUGGCCUUGGAGUCGGUGGGCUCGGAGUUGGUGGCCUCGGUGGGGUCGGCGGCCUGGGAUUCGGUGGUGAGUAUCCAUUCUCCCCGCGGGGUGUUUUGGGGUGGGGGGGAACCCCGCGGGGAUCUCGCUCACCCUGCUCUGCCUUCCCGCUGCAGGGAAGCCCCCCAAACCCUACGGAGGAGCUCUGGGUGCCCUGGGCUUUAGAGGUGAGUGCGGUCCCCGCUGCCAGGGGGCUGUGCUGCCCCCAGUCCCUCUCCCGUCCCUGCGGCGGCUCGCAGGGAGGGCUGACCCGCAUCCCCCGCGGCAGGCGGCGCGGGCUGCGCGGCAGGGAAGUACUGCGGGAGGAAGCGGAAGUAACGCUCCGUCACCGAUCACCUCAUGAACUUUGGUGCUACUGCAUGGUCCAGAAUGUAAAUCCGAGCGAAGCUGAGACACCCUCUCCUCAAGCCCCGGACCGCCCCCGUCCAUCCCGGGGCCGUGCCCGGCCCCGCGUUCCCCGGAGGGACCCCGCGUUCCCCGGCAGCGUCCGGCCCCCCCCGCCCCUCGGUCCCGGCAGGGAGCGCGGAAUAAACUGCGGGGAGCAGCCGUCCCCCUUGGUGCUAUCGCUCUCUGCGGGAUUUGGGGGGGUCUGGGCUGUCGCGCCCCUCCCCAGCCCCAGAGCUGACCCCGGGGGGGGGGGACACAGGAUGGGGGGCACCCCACAUUGGAGGAAGGGAGGGAGGGAGGGUGGGAAGGGGAUGCCGGCAGCGGGGGCUGUGCGGGGAGGGAUGGCCCCGUCAGCCUGGCCCCCACCCCAGUCCCCGCGCCCCCCCGGUUUGGGGGGGUCGCGGGCAGGAGGGGCUCAGUCCCUUCACGUUGCUCACUUUGCUAUAACUGGGUGGGACGCCCUAUACAGAGGGACUCGCUUCUGACAGACUAAUAAAGGACAAGUUUUUAAAGGAUUCUGUGUUCCA